UGAACGCUAGCGGUGCGCCUAACACAUGCAAGUCGAGCGGUAGAAUUUCUAGCUUGCUAGAAAUUUGAGAGCGGCGAACGGGUGAGUAACACGUUGGUAUCUGCCCCCAAGUCAGGGAUAGCCAUUGGAAACGAUGAUUAAUACCGGAUAGUCUCUUCGGAGUAAAAAUUUAUUGCUUGGGGAGGAACCUGCGGUCUAUCAGCUAGUUGGUGAGGUAAUAGCUCACCAAGGCUAUGACGGAUAUCUGGUCUGAGAGGAUGACCAGACACAAUGGAACUGAGACACGGUCCAUACUCCUACGGGAGGCAGCAGUGAGGAAUCUUCCACAAUGGACGAAAGUCUGAUGGAGCGACACCGCGUGAAGGAUGAAGGCCUAACGGUUGUAAACUUCUUUUCUGAAGGAGCAUAAUGAGAGUACUUCAGGAAUAAGGGACGGCUAAAUACGUGCCAGCAGCCGCGGUAAUACGUAUGUCUCAAGCGUUACCCGGAAUCACUGGGUGUAAAGGGUUCGUAGGCGGUUUAAUAAGUUGGAUAUGAAAGACCGGAGCUCAACUCCGUGUAUGUGUCCAAAACUGUUAAACUAGAAUCAGGGAGAGGUAAGCGGAAUUCUAAGUGUAGGGGUGCAAUCCGUAGAUACUUAGAAGAACACCAAAAGCGAAAGGCAGCUUACUGGAACUGUAUUGACGUUCAUGAACGAAAGCGUGGGUAGCGAAAAGGAUUAGAUACCCUUGUAGUCCACGCCCUAAACGAUGAUAACUAAGUGUUGUGACUUGCUCGCAGUGCUGAAGCUAACGCGUUAAGUUAUCCACCUGAGGAGUACGGUCGCAAGAUUAAAACUCAAAGGAAUAGACGGGGACCCACACAAGCAGUGGAUCACGUGGUUUAAUUCGACAAUAAACGGGGAACCUUACCCAGACUUGACAUCUACCGAAUUUUCUAGAGAUAGAAAAGUGCUUUUAUUAGAGCGGUAAGACAGGUGCUGCAUGGUUGUCGUCAGCUCGUGCCUUGAGGUGUUCGGUUAAGUCCGUUAACGAGCGCAACCCAUGUCUUUAGUUAUUAUGUCUAAAGAGACUGCCUUGGUUAACAAGGAGGAAGGUGUGGAUGACGUCAAAUCAGCAUGGCUUUUACGUCUGGGGCUACACACAUGAUACAAUGGUAUGUACAAAGAGCAACAAUAUGGCGACAUGGAGUUAAUCUUUAAAGCAUAUCUCAGUCCGGAUUGAAGUCUGAAACUCGACUUCAUGAAGUUGGAAUUGCUAGUAAUCGUGAAUCAGAUAUGUCACGGUGAAUAUGUUCCUGGGUCUUGUACUCACCGCC
rnacentral:rRNA from 1 species